CCACGAUUAGGCAAACCCUGCAAAAGCAGGGGGCGCGAAGCUAAAGGGCCUAAGGGCAAAAGCCUAUGGCAGCCAGUUGCCGACG
rnacentral:ncRNA from 1 species